GGUCAAACAUUCAACAAACCGCACUUGGGUACGCAUUUGGGCGGGUUGGUUCAUGAUUACGAGUAGAAAAACAGCGUUAAAACGACAGGACGAAGAAAGAGCACAGACCACGGCGCUGACUGACAACCCAACCUGGUUAUUAGUCAGCGCCGUGGUCUGUGUCCUUUCUUGAUCCUGUUCUUUUAGCGCGGUUUUUCUACUCGUAAUCUUGUGUGGUACACAUUACAAAAAAAAAAAUAAUAAUAAAGCCGAGCUAUGUAAAGUUCCUGGAACGUGCGUUUUACCUUCCAGUUUGUCACUUGUUUUGCUUUUCGUACAUGUGUUUUAUUUCAUUCUGUUUCGUGUUUCUGCCGUUUCUUAUCUUA
rnacentral:lncRNA from 1 species